AUUCCCUGGGGCGGCGUGGAAGGGAGGCAGCACCUCCAGGCGACAAGUAGAGCUGGGCCCUGGCGGGCUGCCACGGGGGUGUCUGGCAGUCUCUCCUGGGUCUAGGGCUGUUCCUCUGAGGUCACGAGGUGGUCCUUCGGGUGUGUCUGGGUUGGGAAGAUAAAACCAGCACGUGUAAUGUAAUACAUGACAAUGGAAGAUUCUACGUAAUUAAGGGUUAACUCUGAAAUCAGAAGACAAGUUUUCCAAGACUUGGGAAGGUGGAGAGAUCAGAGAUCAGUGAGAGAACAAAGAAUCGGGAGGUCACACGCCACCUGCGGAUGGAGGAGACACACGCAGACAAGACAGGCCCCCCGCCACUGUUGGCACACAGGACACCCACCCAGCCUAUGGUCCUGUCUGUGGUUGGACAACAUAAUCAGAAUAACAGGGUCCAGAUGUCAGGGAUGGAAGUUGGAGAAAGAUGAGGCAGCAGCAGACACUUUCUCCUGUUGGCCUUAAAGAAGCAACCGCCUGUGCUGGGAGAGGGUCACUGGGCUGAGAUUGGUAGGUGGCUCUGGGAGCUGAGGGCCUAAACCUAUGACCACAAGGAACUGAAUUCAUCCCAAAGCCAGAGAGGUGGAAGACGACUCAGAAGAUGCAGAUGCCAAUGCCACAUCCUGGUGAGCAGCUGGAUUGCAGCUGGACCCGCUAAACCAAGCCCCAGACUCCUGACCAGUGGGAGCUGCAAGAUAAUGAAUAUAGUUUUCUUGUUGUUUUUUGUUUUCUUUUUAAUAAGCAAUAUGACUUUAUUUAGUUACUUUGGAAACAAAAACCCCCAAAUAAUGCCUGAACCCAAAGGUACAUAAAAAUGGCCCAAAAUAGUUUAAAAUAGAUUUGAACAUCAUUUGUAGUUUCUUCCUCAUAACAUGAGCGCUUUCAGCUGGACAGUAGAUUACAAAGCAUCUCCGAUCAUGUUAAGGCAGAUCAUCAAUCUGUGGCUGCAUCUGUAACUCCUGCUGGGAAAAUAAUCCUGUUGGAGUUGGGGGCUCUUCCCAGUUGUUUGGCCAGUUGGCCCAGGAAGGGGCAGUCCUGGAGCUGACGGGUGGGUGAGGAGCCAGGCCCCACCUGUUUUUUGUUUUCUUACGACAGAGUCUUCCUCUGUUGCUCAGGCUGGAGUGCAGUGGCGCUAUCUCGGCUCACUGUAACCUCCACCUCCUGGGUUCAAGCGAUUCUCCUGCCUCAGCUUCCAGGAGAGCUGAGACUACAGGUGUGUGUCAUUACACUGGGC
rnacentral:lncRNA from 1 species